GACCCCAGGUCAGGCGGGGUUACCCGCUGAAUUUNAGCAUAUCAAUAAGCGGAGGA
rnacentral:rRNA from 1 species